UACAGAGGUCCCAAGCGUUGUUCGGAUUCAUUGGGCGUAAAGGGUGCGUAGGUGGCGCCGUAAGUCGGGUGUGAAAUUUCGGAGCUUAACUCCGAAACUGCAUUCGAUACUGCGGUGCUUGAGGACUGGAGAGGAGACUGGAAUUCAUGGUGUAGCAGUGAAAUGCGUAGAGAUCAUGAGGAAGACCAGUGGCGAAGGCGGGUCUCUGGGCAUCUCCUGACGCUGAGGCGCGAAAGCGUGGGGAGCAAACGGG
rnacentral:rRNA from 1 species